rnacentral:tRNA from 1 species
AUUUAAGUAGUUUAAAAAAAAUAUUGAUUUGUGGAAUCAAAGAUAUAAAAUGUUAUCUUAAAUA